CAUAUGCUUGUCUCAAAGAUUAAAGCCAUGCAAGUGUAAGUAUAAUUGUUUUACGGUGAAACUGCGAAUGGCUCAUUAAAUCAGUUAUAGUUUAUUUGAUGCUAUAGGCCGAAAGGUCACUACAUGGAUAUCUGUAGUAACAUAGAGCUAAUACAUGCAAUAUAGUACUGACUUUUUGGAAGGACUAGCACUUAUUAGAUAUUAAAACCAGUCCCAGCAAUGGGUUUUUUGGUGAUUCAUAGUAACUGAACAAAUCACAUGGUCUUGUACCGGUGAUGUUUCAUUCAAAUUUCUGCCCUAUCAACUAGAUGGUAGUAUAUAGGACUACCAUGGUUGUAACGGGUAACGGAGGAUUAGGGUUUGAUUCCGGAGAAGGAGCAUGAGAAACGGCUACUAUUUCUAAGGAAGCAGCAGGCG
rnacentral:rRNA from 1 species